rnacentral:sRNA from 1 species
GCUGGGUGAGGUGGUGCACACCUGUAAUCCCAGCGACUUGGGAGGCUGAGACAGGAGGAUUUCAAGUUCAAAGCCAGCCUCAGCGAAAGCAAGGCAUCAAGCAACUCAGUGAGACCCUAUCUCUA